AUAAAAAAGAAAAAAGCAUAGAGAAUAACUCCGAGUCGAAGAAAACCGAGCAAACUACAAGAAGCUGAAGAAGAAGAAGAAGAAGAAGAAACAUAGAGAAGUCCACUGGGUCGUUCAUUGAAGGGCUCUGCUUCCAGCUUACAGGCUUCUCUGCUGCAAGGAGCACAACUGACUUGGUAAACCAAUGCAUUCCAUGCAGUUUUGAAUUUACAGAUUAAAACUUCAAUGGCCAGAAAAGCUGUACCAAGACCAGGAAAACUAGCUGUGUAUCUUUACAUUCCCAAUAUUAUUGGGUACAUUAGGGUUCUUAUGAACAUAAUUGCCUUUGCUCAAUGCUUCUCCAACAAAAAGCUUUUCUCCAUUCUUUACUUUGUCAGCUUUGUGUGUGAUGGCAUAGAUGGCUGGUGUGCUCGCAAAUUCAAUCAAGUUUCAACCUUUGGUGCUGUUUUGGACAUGAUAACAGACAGGAUUAGCACUGCUUGUCUAUUGGUAAUUCUUUCCCAAGUAUACCGGCCUGGCUUGAUUUUCCUCUCAUUGCUUGCCUUAGACAUUUCCAGCCACUGGCUGCAGAUGUACAGUACUUUCUUAGCAGGGAAGGUUAGUCAUAAAGAUGUAAAAGACAGCACCAGUUGGCUUUUUAAGUUAUACUAUGGGAAUAGGAUGUUUAUGGCCUACUGUUGUGUGGCAUGUGAGGUUCUUUAUAUUCUUCUAUUUCUUCUUGCAAAGAAUGAAACGGAGAACUUGAUGGAUGUUUUAACAAGGUCUGUGAAAGAGAGUACACCAUUGUGUGCUCUACUUGCGUCAAGUUUAUUUGGAUGGGCAGUUAAGCAAGCUGUUAAUGUCAUCCAGGUAUACAUUCCCUCUUCCUCUCCACUCUAGUUGGGAAAUAACAACAGUGCUGUUGAAGCUAUACUGUAUCUGGAUACGGAGACAUGAGUGCAUGCAUUACGUUAGGAACCUGUUAGUAUAAUAAAUGACUGAUUAUGAAAUUUUUGAGAUGCCUGUAGUCGCUACUCAACUUUUAAAUCAUGAAGUUGAAGACAGCAGCUGAUGCUUGUGUGCUUUACGACAUUGACAAAAAGCAGAAGCCCUAAUUUGCAUCAACUACAUAUACGACAAAUGGCAUCCUUUGAACAACUGGAGCCCACUUUUUUGUGUUCAAAUUUCUGUAUGUUUUAAUGUAGAUGGGUAUUAAUUUAGUGACAUAACAGAAAAAAGGACUAAAAACUUCAGUGACAUGAUCCAUUGGACGUUUCAUUUUACUUCUAUUUUGCAUUUCCCCUUCUGGGAUUAUUUAUACAGCGAAUUCAGAGCUCCUUGGUGAUAUUACGUAAUUGCAAUUUGAUUUUUUUGUUUGAUA